UGACAAAACCUCUGGGCAUGCUAGAACUAGAAGGGAACUUCCUUAACAAUACAGAGCAUGAAAAACCUACAGUUAGCCAGUUAGCAUCAUGCACAAUGGUUUGUUCUCCAUCUAAGAUUUGCUUGCUUGCUCAGUCGCUUAGUCAUGUCUGACUCUUUGCAACCCCAUGGUCUGUCCAUGGAAUUCUCCAGGCAAGAACACUGGAGUGCAUUGCCAUUCCCUUCUCCAGGGGAGCUUUCCGACCCAGGGAUCAAAGCCGGAUCUCCUGCAUUGCAGGCAGAUUCUUUACAUCUGAGCCACCAGGGAAGCCCAAACAUCAAGUAUUCCAGGCCAGAAUACUGGAGUGGGUAGCCUUUCCCUUCUGCAGGAGAUCUUCCCAACCCAGGGAUUGAACCCAGGUUUCCCACACUGCAGACGGAUUCUUUACCAGCUGAGCCACCAGGGAAACCCAAGAAUACUCGAGUGGGUAGUUUAUCCCUUCUCCAGUGGAUCUUCCUGACCCAGGAAUCGAACUGGGAUCUCCUGCAUUGCAGGUGGGUUCUUUACCAGCUGAGUUACCUGGGAAAUCUAAGAUUUGGGGAAAGGCAAAAGAAUUCUGGGCUUCCCCAGUAGCUCAGCAGUAAAGAAUUUGCAGGCAAUGCAAGAUACUUGGCUUUGACCCCUGCAUCAGAAAGAUCCCCUAGAGGAGGAAAUGGCAACCCACUCCAGUAUUCUUGCCUGAAAAAUCUCACGGACCGAGGAGCCUGGCAGGCUACAGGGCAUGGGGUCGUAGAGAGUCAGGCAAGACUUAGUGACUAAACAACAACGAAAGAAAUACUUGCUCUCACCAUUUCUAGUCAACACUAUACUUAAGACCCUACCUGGAUAUAAGGCAAGAAAGAGAAGAAGCAUAUGUAUUGUAGGAAAUGAAACUGCAGAAGACAUCAAAUGUAAUGAAAAUCCUAAAUAGAUUUAAAAAAAAAAAACAAAAACUAGAAUUAGUUUAGUGAGGUAAGAUACAAGAUCAGUAUACAAAACUCAGUUGCAUGCUAGCAACAAAUAAUUGGAUAUUGAAAUUAAAAGCAUGAAGUAAUUAGGGAAACAGCAAAAUUUGUGUAAGACUAAAAAAGUAGAAAGAUAUAUAUCAUUAUUGUGAAUUGGAAGACAAUUUUGUAAAUGUUAAUUGUCUCUAAUGCAUAAUCAACUCAAAAUUCUGAUGGUUUUCUUUGUAAACAUCAUAAAAUAUAUAUGUAAAUAAUAUGUAAAUACAAAUGACCCAGAAUAUCCAAAAUGAUUUGAAAAAAAAAUUAGAGAACUUGAUCUAUCUAUAGAAAGGUUUGCUAUUGUUAUACUGCAAGAUACAAUGAGAUCAGGAUAGAUACGGAUUAGUGAACCAGAAAUAGACUUCCACAUACAUGGCUAAUUGAGUUUUGAUAAAGGUAACAAGGUUCCUGAACAGGGAAGAGAUAGCCUUCUCAAUAAAUGUUAUGACAACUAUAUAUUUAUGGAGAAAAGUGAACCUGUAUCCUUACUUCAUGUCACAUAAAAAUUGGAUGGCUCAAGAUGGAUCAACCUAAACAUAAAAAGUCUCAAACUUCUUGAAACUGAUACAAUGUUGUCAAUUGGCUGUACC
ensembl:lncRNA